rnacentral:piRNA from 1 species
GUGUGUGUGCAAAGCCCAUUUUCCCAGCCU